UAGAACAUCCUACUUGAAGCACAAAUAUUUCAAAACUAUUAAACUACAGAUAUUGCCUUACAAGUGUAUAGUGAUUACUUAUAAGCAAUUUUUUUAGAUGCAAUUUAUUUACUUAAAUGCUCAGCUAUUUGAUAUCUGGUUGAAUUCAGAUGAUAACAAUUGCCUCUUAAUCUGUAAUUGUAAAAUUAUUUAUUUAGCUUGCACUUUUUUUUUAAAUAGUUCAAGAUGUUGAGUAUUGAUUCAACUUUUAGCUUGGGAGAUAAAUAGCCAAAGCUGUAAAUAGACAGGCCAGGUAAUUGAAACUAGAGGUAAACAUCAUGGGAAGUCCAAUUAUAAGGCAAGUAUUUUUCCUUUAUAUCUUAUUUAACAUAAUUAUUCAAACUAUGUAAUACUUAUAGGCUUAACUUUUGUUUCCAUAGAAACAACUUUUUUUUAAAUACCAUGAGAUAUUGUAUUUAAGAGAUAUUCUAGCUCAGUAUAUGAUGUUUCCAUAUAUCAUCAGCUUAACAAGCACACAUUCUCUGCUGCCAACAGUACCAAUUUGUCAACCAAGCAACAAAUAUUCCUUGGUAAUCUGCUAUCAGAUGGCAUUUUUAUGAAUUAAAGCUUUCAAGGCUUAAUGUUUUGGUCAAGUUUCAGAUUUGUUUAGCAUAAUCCUGUACUACAUAUUAAUAAAUGUUUGGUGUGUCUAGUUCAUCUCUCUCACUUUGAAGAUGGCUACACACUAUCAGCAGUGCACCCCUAUGAUAUACAAGUCUUCAUUGCCAAGUCACUCUGCCAAACAGUGUGUACACCUUUCUUGCAAUGGUAGUACUUUACUGUACUUCAAUCACUUCAGGAGUCUGGAUAUGUCAGCCCAAGGCCAAGGAGAUCAAGUUUGUGUCCAAGGUUACUUAGGUAAUUCUCUAAGAACAAUAGGUUUGUUUUUUUUAAAGACAGACACUACAUGUUGCUGAUCUGUGGGUUAGUGGCUCAAUCAUUGUGCACUGAUUCUCCACUGAUGCCUAGAUUUCCAUAAGUUUAUCUACAGAUCAAGGGACUAAAUGGUCUAUUAAACAUGAGGUCUAGGAAAAAGGAUGAACAUUUCAAGGCUGCAGGAGGAACAUUAAGCUUCUCUCUCACUGUGAAAAGAUUCUACCGAUCUACAAAUGAUCAACAUGUUUUAUCUUAAGUUCAUCUGCCAUUUCUUCAAAUGGAGCCAUAGUCAGAAUAAGAUUCUUUUUGUUCUUCCUUAGGUUCAAAUGUAUCAGUUGUUUUUGUUGACAGAUAUCAAGUCAUUUCAGUUCUCAAUUAUUUUGUGCACCAAGUUACAAGAAAAAAUUUAAGCAAGAGAGGUCACUACACUAAGACUUUGUCUUCUCAUAAGAAAGGAUGGCUGCCUGGUCAUGUGAUAUGUGCACUGGACUGUGUAUGGUCAUCUUGAUGCUCAUAUCUUGCCUGAUGACAUUUAUUCUGCUGAACAUUUGGUCAAGGAAGUAGAUUCUCUUCAGCUCUCAAGAAACAUUCAAAACAUGUCAAACAUUCGACAAGAAUAUCAAGUGCAAUGUACAUACCAACAUGAUGAAAAGGUAGACAACAUGAAGAUGUAGACCAACAUGAUGAAGAUGUAGACCAACAUGAAGAUGUAGACCAGCAUGAUGAAGAUGUAGACCAACAUGAUGAAGAUGUAGACCAACAUGAAGAUGAAAUGUAAACCAAAAAAUGGGUCAAGAGAUGUAUGGAAUACAAUGUGAACAUCUUGAGAAGUAAAACAAUUCCUAGAGGCAAAGACACAGACACACCGGAUCUAUUAGAGAUUUUCCUUUUCUACCAUCAUUUAGAGACUUCCUUGUGCUCUAAGGGAACCUGUCAUUAUCUUUUGAUUGCUAAUUGGCAUUGAUGUUUUUACAUUCCUACUGCGUCUGAAAGAAAUUAACAUUUCCCUAAUGCUACUUCAAAACCAGACUUUGUGAGAACUAUUUAGGUGGAAUCACCAUAAUUGACUUGUAUAAAUCUUGUUCUAUAUUUAGGUAUAUCUUGACAAUCAGUCCAGUCAUUUGUUCAUUUUUUUUUUAAAUAUUCCUUUUUUUUCCCUCAAUCUUCUUGUUGUUUCAGUUACAUGUUUUUGUAUUUUGAAGGAGGAAGGUGCUUUGGUAUAUUAUCGUUAUUAUUAUUGUACCAGUAUUAAGCAAACUUGUAUAUCUUUAAUUAUUCACAUGAAUUCUAAAGUAGAACGUCACUUCCACCGGAAAAUGUUGUAACAACUAUACGUGUCUUCAGUUAACAUUCAAUACUCUGUACAGUCACAACGCCAAAGCCUUGCUAGAUUAUGCUUUUAAUUCAAUUUGUUAUCUCCCCUGCUUUAGUGUGCUAUCAUAUAAUUUUUUGUGUCACAUCCCUGCACAAUUUGUUCUAUGCUUUUUUACAGUAUAAAUAGGGACUUGACAUUAUUUAGCUCUAUUAUAAUAUUGUUAUAUUAUUAUAUUUAAAAUAAAACUGUUAACAUAUUCUAUGCUGUUAUAAUAUAAAUGUUUUGCUGUUACCAUGAAUACAGUUUUGAGUUUUUGUCUGAUUUCUUAGAGGAGAAAUUUUUCAUAAAUAAUAAUAAUAAGGCUUAUCUUCAAGUCCGAAGAUUAGUGAGAAGUAUGCAGUAUUCCCCAGCUAGGACCUACAUAUUUUGCUAUAAAUAAAGAGUAUAAUAAUAUUUACUACUUGGUAUUGUCAGUCUUCACUAAAGCAAUGAGUUUAUCCCCUUAGUGUGUUUAAAAUUUUCAAAUACUAAUUCACUUUGUAUUAUCUAUUGGUGAUCAUGGGGUAUCCACUUUGUCAUCUCCAUAGUCUCUGGUGUUAACACUCAGUGUCCUGUUGGAGGUUACGGCUAAGAUGUUAUCUCUCUUUCUGAUGGAACACAUGUAAAACCAACAAAACAAACAUUAGACCUAGACUUUAUUAACAGGUAAAUUUUUAUAAUUGUGAACUGGCGCUCCCAAAGCUACUUUUAUGUAUUUUAAAUUUUACUUCUGUAGGCUAGUGCUAAGCUGUAUACUUGUAUUUCUGCCUAUUAUAUGGGUUAGGGUGGAGUACUUAAAAUAGAGCCUAUGCUGUUUCCUGUACUGUUGACCAGUGGUCUCUGUGUCAGUUUUAAUUAUUCUGUACCUGGGACUGCCUGUAAGUUUCAGAAUUUUUCUUUUAUUUUUUAAAAUUUUACUAUGUGUAAAUCUGUUUUAUAUUUGAACAACUGUCAAAAUAACUAGCAGUUUUUUUUCUUCUAAAGUUUGUUUUAAAACUAUGGCCAAGCCCUGCCCAGUGCUGUCAUGAUGGCCACUUCUAAUGUUUAUGUACUAGAUUGUAACUGCUGCCUUAGUCAUUGAAAUUAAAGUCUCAUUUUUGAAUUUC